rnacentral:rRNA from 1 species
GACGGAGGGUGCUAGCGUUGUUCGGAAUGACUGGGCGUAAAGGGCGCGUAGGCGGCUUUUCAAGUCGGGUGUGAAAGCCCGGGGCUCAACCCCGGAACGGCAUCCGAUACUGGGAGGCUUGAGACCGGGAGAGGAGGGUGGAAUAUCCAGUGUAGAGGUGAAAUUCGUAGAUAUUCGGAAGAACACCAGUGGCGAAGGCGACUUACUGGACACAUAUUGACGCUGAGGUGCGAAAGCGUGGGGAGCAAACAGG